UGCCUGGAAAAUACAAGUGGAUGAUGAUAG
rnacentral:piRNA from 1 species